rnacentral:rRNA from 1 species
UAGAGUUUGAUCCUGGCUCAGGUUGAACGCUGGCGGCAGGCUAACACAUGCAAGUCGAGCGGAUGAGGGGAGCUUGCUCCCUGAUUUAGCGGCGGACGGGUGAGUAAUGCCUAGGAAUCUGCCUGGUAGUGGGGGAUAACGUUCCGAAAGGAACGCUAAUACCGCAUACGUCCUACGGGAGAAAGCAGGGGACCUUCGGGCCUUGCGCUAUCAGAUGAGCCUAGGUCGGAUUAGCUAGUUGGUGAGGUAAUGGCUCACCAAGGCGACGAUCCGUAACUGGUCUGAGAGGAUGAUCAGUCACACUGGAACUGAGACACGGCCCAGACUCCUACGGGAGGCAGCAGUGGGGAAUAUUGGACAAUGGGCGAAAGCCUGAUCCAGCCAUGCCGCGUGUGUGAAGAAGGUCUUCGGAUUGUAAAGCACUUUAAGUUGGGAGGAAGGGCAUUAACCUAAUACGUUAGUGUUUUGACGUUACCAACAGAAUAAGCACCGGCAAACUUCGUGCCAGCAGCCGCGGUAAUACGAAGGGUGCAAGCGUUAAUCGGAAUUACUGGGCGUAAAGCGCGCGUAGGUGGUUCGUUAAGUUGGAUGUGAAAGCCCCGGGCUCAACCUGGGAACUGCAUCCAAAACUGGCGAGCUAGAGUAACGGUAGAGGGUGGUGGAAUUUCCUGUGUAGCGGUGAAAUGCGUAGAUAUAGGAAGGAACACCCAGUGGCGAAGGC